rnacentral:rRNA from 1 species
CCAUGGACAGGAUGAAGCGGCCGUAAAAGGCUGUGGAGGUCCGAACACACAUCCGUUGAAAAGGGUGGUGAUGAGCUGUGGAUAGGGGAGAAAUUCCAAUCGAACUCGGAGAUAGCUGGUUCUCCCCGAAAUAGCUUUAGGGCUAGCCCUGUAGCAUGCCUAAUGGAGGUAGAGCACUGAAUAUCCGCGGGGGCUUCACCGCUUACCAAAGAUUAUCAAACUCCGAAUGCCAUAUAGGCUGAGCGCAGGAGUCAGACUACACGAGAUAAGUUGGGUAGUCAAAAGGGAAAGAGCCCAGAUCUACGGCUAAGGUCCCAAAGUGCGUGUUAAGUGGAAAAGGAUGUGGGAUUUCAUAGACAGCUAGGAUGUUGGCUCAGAAGCAGCCACACAUUCAAAGAGUGCGUAAUAGCUCACUAGCCGAGAGGUCCUGCGCCGAAAAUUACCGGGGCUGAAACACGACACCGAAGCCUAGGGAUUGGAUGUAUCUACGGGUACAUCUGAUCGGUAGGGGAGCAUUCUGUACUGCAUAGAAACUGUACCGAAAGGAGCAGCGGAGUGUAUAGAAGAGAGAAUGCCGGAAUGAGUAGCGAGAUGGAGGUGAGAAUCCUCCAGGCCGAAUAUCCAAGGAUUCCAGGGUAAAGCUGAUCUGCCCUGGGGAAGUCGGGACCUAAGCUGAGGCCGAAGAGGCGUAGGCGAUGGACAGCAGGUUGAUAUUCCUGCACUUAUGUAUAUCAGAACUGUGGGGACGCAGGCAAAAGGGUCGAGCCGGGGAAGGAAGAACCGGUCCCGCAAGGGGGAACGAAAAUAAGUAGAGAAGCGACAGAUAUGACUGCCAAGAAAAGCCACUAUAGCGUAUACAUAACCCGUACCGUAAACCGACACAGGUGGAUGAGGAGAGAAUCCUAAGGCCGACGGGAGAAGCAUUGUUAAGGAACUCGGCAAAAUGUCCCCGUAACUUCGGGAUAAGGGGAGCCUGAGAAAUCAGGCCGCAGAGAAGAGGCUCAAGCAACUGUUUAGCAAAAACACAGGUCUAUGCGAAACCGAAAGGUGAGGUAUAUGGGCUGACGCCUGCCCGGUGCUGGAAGGUUAAGAGGAGAGGUUAGAGCAAUCGAAGCUUUGAAUUUAAGCCCCAGUAAACGGCGGCCGUAACUAUAACGGUCCUAAGGUAGCGAAAUUCCUUGUCGGGU